CUUGAAGUCUUGGUAAAGUUCAAAACAGUUAACAGUCAGACUGCAUCUCAGCACUGUCAAGAUGGAUCUCCAUAACAGGUCAUGAAUAGUUUUAUUUGGGGGAUAUAUUAACUUUUACUAUUGGGGGAAAGUUUUAGAUUAGUUUUCCAGUUUGUAACCCAUCAAGCUGAGGCCAAUAAAUAUACAUUUGUAACCCUGUACCCAUUAAAUAAUCAACUUUAUGUGUGAAUUUGGGACUGAUUCAUACAACCACAUUUCCUUUCUCAAGAAAGGUUGGAAGGUAUGUAAUUUGAAUGGCUAUUGCUCUCUGCUGUUAGGGUGUUGUCAGCGGAUCCUGGCUAAUUGCCCAGGAAAGUAUAAACAAGGAAAAGUUUCAUACAGUUCUUUUUUAUGUCAAACUUUACAGAGAGAGGCUAUAGAACCCAGCCUCUUGGAUAAUGGUGUUGUCCUGAGUGAAUCUCCACCCUCCAUCUCUCCCACUUGCUCAUCUAUUACUUCUACGGGUGCUGAUACAUGCCCUCUGUCUUUGAGCUCUUUGCUCUCCUACUUUUAAGGCUCGCCGGGUUCUGGGAGAUGGUAGGUCUGGAAUGCUUUCUUGCAACAACAUGUCAGCCAGCUGCUGCUCUGGCUCUCCCAUGAUUUCCCAACUUUCCCCCUCCUCUGCCUCUGAGCUGCGACCUCCCCCAAACCCCUGUUGUAAAUCUACAUUGUCUUCCUCUUCCUCCUCCCUGGAAGGAUCAGGAUGGAGAGGCUGUCUCCACCAUUCCUCCUCUGCCCAGUCUCUGAGACUACCUCCUCUUCAGCUGCUUCUUUUUCCUCUCUGGACUCAGCUAUACAGCUCCAAAUAAAGCGUUUAAAUGUGUUGUAAAUAUACAAAUGUGACACCAGAUGGCGAUGGUGAGCUAUGCCAAAUGCAAUGUAUUUUUCAAAACGUUUCUUUUAAUAAAAAGCAUUCUCACAGCGUUCUUUAUAUGUGUGUAGAUUGCACCUCUCUCUCACUCAAGCCUCUUGUGGCUCAGCAUCAAACCAUCCUUCAUCUUCUGCCCUAUCUUAAGUGACCCACCACCACUCUCCUGAGUCUGAGCCUUCCGCUUCUGAUGCUUCCACAGGGGGUUCUCUGGCUAGGACCUCCCACCAUUCCUCCCUGUCCAGCCAGUCCCUGACACAGGCUAAAGAUCAGGCUCCAGUUCAGGCUGACAAGGGUCGACAAGCAAAGGUAAAGCCAGAGGCAGGACUGGCCCUACCAUUAGAUGGGAUUGCAGCACUUAACAGGGGGGAACUGACAGGUGGUGAUGAUGAUGACAUAGAGCACCUUAUAAACCCUGGAAUUAACCGAGAUCUGCUACACAGCACAUACAUUUCCAGCAGCUAUGAUCUCUCCAGCUUCAAGAGCAGAAAUAAUCGAUACCUGUGUAGGAUGGCCGUGUUCCACUGACCAUAAUAAAGGAAGCCAGACAAGCAGACUCCAUUUCGGGUUUGCGUUUGCAGAGGUGGCUUUGGUUUCUCUUUGCCUCUUUCCUCAUAUUUCAUGCCUUCAUGCAAUAUUUACAACUGAAAGAAAACGUUCUAUAUCAGGAAGGAAUGAUAAAGGGAUGCUUUAGCCAGAAAUGCAAGCAAAGAGGAAAAGACUUGCCUCGCGCUGCAAUGCUCAAGGGACUAACGGUCAUUUAGAGAAAACACAUCUCAGAAGCAUCCGACAAAAUGCAGCUCCACAACUCACUCGGCUCUAACCUGCCUGUUUAUUUAGAGUGGAUACGUGAAGGUUUGCAUCUGCCCGAAGAGUGUGGUCAGGAAUAUGGUCCUAUAAAUAGUUGGCAAGUGUAAAGCAGGCCACAGCAACGCUAUGGGAGAACAGAACAGAACAGAACAGAACACACUGCUGCAAAAUAUGAUUUUAAUAAGCAGCACCAAGCUAAAUCCCUGUACGUUUCAAAUUGUUCUUCGGAGGAAAUUGUAUCUGUUUAACUAUUAAAGAUUCCGUUCUUGUUUGCUGUUUGCUCAAAAGCCACAGUUUGCAAACUUGGCUAGCCUUGGCUACUGAACUGUUCAGUUAGAAACUUGCAGGGAUUUAGCUCGGCACAGCUUAUUAGAAUAAUCUUUUGCACCUCUUGCUGUUUACCACUCCACUUUCUCCCAUCAAAAUUAAAUGUACGGAAUUCAGCCGAGAUAUGCACAUUCUGCGAUGCCUGUUGGGGAUUAUGCAUGAUGGCCAGAGAAUGUACAAAAUUCAGUCGUUGUUUGCACAUUUCCCAUGGCCUGCUGGAGACUAUAAAUAAGUAAAUAUAUUUAUAAAUAAAUGGAAUAAAUGCGAUCUCGUAUCACAUGACAGUGCAGAUAAAAAAGAGCAAGGGAGGAAUGAAUUUUCAGGUUAAGAUUAAAGAUCAGCACAGUCAAAUCAACCAGUGGGUGUUCAUUAAGUGUGAUGGAGCCGUGAUGUUCUAUUCAGACAUUUUACAUGAAUGUGUGACACCAUUGCAUAUAAAGUGCUUUUCUUUCCUUGAUUAGGUAGCACCAUUUGGGAUUAUAGACCUCUACAUGUGAAUUCUAUGGACUGCCAUUUAUUACAGCUGAUACCAUCAUGACACCUGGUGACAAAUAAAAUGCUCGUGGGUGGAAGACAUUAAAAUAAAUUCAAAAUGAGGGAACAGCCAGAAAACACCCAAGAAGAACCCCAAGCAUCUCUCCUGAGAGCAGUAGUGUAGCCUUAUUAGACUUUACCGAUGGUAGGGUGAGUGUUGCUCCCAGAACAGGGAGGAAGGAGUCAAAUGACACCAAGGUUGAUUCAGAGAAAGAGUUUAUUCUGCUCUCCGGAUAGCAGAAGGCACUUGCGUGGUCAGUUCACAGCAAGUCCAAAGAAAUGAGAAAUUUCAUGCAGUAUAUAUAUCCUCCAGGCACCCUCUCCCCCCUUCCCCAGGAAUCCAACCACGUCAGCUCAUAUACGCAAGCUGACAUCCAUGACCAUAAACAGAUAUUCCUGUUCCGGUACUCUUGACCAUAAAAGGUUGUUCCUGUUCCUAUACUCUUAUCUUGGGGCAGGAGGUCACCAACUCUAAGAACACUCCUGGCACCGUUCCCGGGUCUCUUGUCAGACCUGACAAGGUCUGUGCGUCUUUUUGUGGUCAGGAUGUAAGAUAAGACUCAGACGUGCCAUCCCUGCUCCAUGGAACUGGCAAGGUCAUCCAUUGCCGUCACGGACUGAUAAAGGAGAGGGCUUUGAGCACUUGUUUAUACAGCUGGGUUUCUGUUUAUACAUUGAUUCAAGAGCUUAAGUUAAUGCAUUUUAGAAAUGCUCCCUUGGAGAAGGAAAAAUGAGGAUUUUGGGUCCCAUUUCAGACUGACUGCACAGAACCCAUUCCUUCCCCCUUCAGUAGCAACCAACAUUUGCCUACGGUGAUACUUUUAAAUGCACACAAAUUUAAAAACAAAACGGCAACUGAAAGCCUAUGAGUUAAGAUCAUCUUGAAAGCAUCUGACCAGAAACCCUAUGUUUUUGUCAUCUCCAUGACCUGCAUUUUUAUACAAGAGGAAUUGGGAGUAACAUCACCCUUAUCAGUGUGAUGGCAGGUGAUUGGUUACCAUUCUACAAUUGCAGCGCUGCUUUGUAUUUAAGGGAGACUUAAGAACUGCACACCUGCAACCACAAUGUGUCAACAAGGUCAUAAAAUGGAACAUUACUUUUCUGAAUUCCGACUUUCAGUUUUUUGAAAAGUGACUCGGCAGGAAGAGGGGAACCUAUGAGUACCCUGCUCAUACAACUUAGACAAAAGUAUGCUAUCCCGAGAAGAUACUCUCAGUGCACUCUCAGCACUAAAAUUACAACUUACCCACCUGGGAAAGUAGUGUAUUGUGCCUGGUUUGUUGUUGUGGUGGUUAACGGCUGAGGUGGAGGAAAUAGAUUUCAGUUACAAGGAUCAACUCAAAGGGUAGCAAUUUUUUGUCAGAAGAAAUUACAUGGACGCUAUCAGCCCAGGCAGCAUAAGCUGAAGCAGAGAAAGUUACCAGCUGAGUCCAAAUUACAGAGUAUUUGUCUGAUGUUAUUUAACCUUUCUGCAAAGAUUGCUCCAAGUGUUUUGCUAGAAAGUGGAGAGGGUCAUGUUGAUGCUUCGGCCUCCCCCUUUAUUAUCUGGGCUGAACGGCACAACUCUAAACAAGGCAACACAUUUACCCAAGCUUCCAUGUGCUCCUUUGCAACUUUGGGUUCAAUUUGCUUCGCAUCUCAAGGCGAAGCUCCCUAAUUUGCGCUUUCUGAAACAAUACGAGAGCCGCAAGGCAGCCAUCCUUCCAAAUUUGCACUUAUUUGAAAUUUGCAAUGCCACAUAAGCCAAAUAAUACAUACACAAAUGCAUAUACGGGGAUAAAGCGUGCAUUUUAAAAGUGCAAGAGUCCGUGAAAAUAACAAGCAAAAAUGUGCAUGGAAAUGCUGGUUAUUUUUUUAUUAUUAUUUAAAAAAUCACUGGCUGAUGUGAAUGACUGGAAGGAGAAGAAGCUGGGGAGAACUGAAAAUGACAGAUUUGGCCAUCCCUAGGCUAGAGAGCUCCAUUCUUCUCCCAAACCUGGCAGCCUUGCCUGCUGCUGCAGCAGAAACCUUGCAUAGUCUCUUGCUCAUGAAAUGCAAGUGGAACACUGCAAGGAGUAUGAGGGAGCAGUGGUAUCAAUGGCAGCUUUCUCCUUCCUGGGGCAAUGUCAUCACUGGAAGAGAACUAUUCACCUGCAGACACCUGCUGCAGAGCCUGCCCUUCUAUCUGGGUAACUGUGCUCCUCAUCCCUAUCUCCUUCAGUUUAUAAUGUACGUCCUUGUGUUACCCAGCUAGAGUGAAGACAAUGUAGCUCUCCAGUUGUUAGACUGCAGCUUCCACUGGAGCAAGACAGUUUGAGCAUCUUACGCCAGUGCUGGUUUUGACCCAUAAAGCUUUAAACAGCUCAGGACUGCAAUACCUCAAGGACCGCCUCUUCCCAUAUGAACCUACCCAGUCCCUGAUAUCAUCUUUUCAGGCCCUCCUUCGUGUGCCUCCUCCUCGAGAGGUCUGGAGGGUGGCAACAUGAGAACGAGCCUUCUCUGUAGUAGCUCCCCAUCUAUGCAAUGCUCUCCCCAGGGAAGUCCGCCUGGCGCCUUCAUUAUACACCUUUAGGAGCCAGGCAAAAAUGUUUCUUUUCAACCAGGCCUUUGAUCGACAUCCUAUGCCCUUUUAAAAUGUGGCUAUUGGGUUGUUGUUUUUAUUUUGAUUAUGUAUUUUCGUUUCAUAUUUUGAUUUUGUUCUGUGAACCACCCUGACACCUCUGGGUAUUGGAAAUUUAAAUUCAAUAAAUCAUCAUCAUAUCAUCAUCAUUCCUGACUGUUGGCCAUGUUGGCUGGGACUGAUGGGAAUUGGAGCCCACCGAUAUCUGGAGAGCCACUGUCUCCAGAAACCUAGUUCCAAUGCUAGCCUAUCUUGUAUCUGUGUCUUAUGAUGUAUCCUCUGUAGGGUCCUUGCCAAUGAGUGAGUGGACGAUUCAGAGUCAAAGAUGGAGAGCAGGUUUUGACAACCAUACACAAAUAAGUCAGGAAGCAAAAUAGUAGGAUCUGUAUAAAGGAUCACCAGUAAUGAUUUGGGAUUCCCAUUGGUAUAAGGUUAAACAUGUAUUUUGUCCCUCUCCCUCUUGGUUGUUGUUUAGUCGUGUCCGACUCUUCGUGACCCCCUGGACCAGAGCACGCCAGGCACUCCUGUCUUCCACUGCCCCCUGCAGCUUGGUCAAACUCAUGUUCGUAGCUUCAAGAACACUGUACAGCCAUCUUGUCCUCUGUCGUCCCCUUCUCCUUGUACCCUCCCUCUUGGUAAUCAGCCGCAAUGCAUAGUUGUCAGGCUUCAGUGAAUUCCGAUCCUCUCCCCUCUCACGGCAGACAUCCAAGGAAGUAGGCGAGGAAGUUCUUAUCGAGUCUUUAUUCAGUAAUUCACAGCAAGAGGAUCAUGUACUCCGCCUCUUAGAUUAAUGGCGUUGCUCCAACUGAGCUCCUCCCCCCUCCCUUCCUAGCAACAGCACUUCCCUUUAUGGUGGCCAUCAGGGUUAAUUGUCUCUGUGGCCUUUGCUCUUCCACUUUCAAUGCAUGCUAGGUUCUGGGAGAAGGGGGGUCAGAAAUGCUCUCCAGUGAUAAUGUGUCAGCUGGCUGCUCUGCCUUUGUCUCCCCCUUUUCUCUUCCCAACUCAUCUGUUCACCUGUCUCUGAGCUGUGAGCUUCCUCAAACCACUGCUGUAAUUCAAUACUGCCUUCUUCUUCUCUGGAAGGUUUGGGGGGCAGUCUCCACCAUUCCUCCUCAGUCUUGUCCCCCUCAGUCCAGUCCCUGACAUCAGUCUUGCAAAGCCAGAUCAGCAAUGCAACCCCAUCCAUGCCACCCGACCAGUCGCUACUGGGCCUGCCCCCUUCGUUUGCGUACCUCUGAAUAUUUCCCCGAAGUCUGAAAACACCAUGCUUUGAGGAAACAGCUACCUAUAGUGUGUAAGCCAUGGGUGAAAGAAAAAAUAAGAAAUAGAGAGAAGGAUUCACUUUGAGCCCCAUCAGCAGAAGGCAUGUGUAAAGAUAUCUGUUUGUGCAAUGGGGCUUUUACUACCCCUUCCCCACAUGCCCCCAUCUGAAAUUAGUGUCGGGUGGGUGGGAGAACCCCCGGAACAGUGCAGGGAAGGGAGUGCUGAGAUCAUUCCGUCUGGGAGGCUGAAAUGCUUGCACUGCAGGCAACGUUGAAUUCCACACAGAAAUGUUUCCCUGGAACACUUAUAAGGACAUCCAGAAAAGGACACCUGGCCCCUAAUAACAGCAAAAUUGAAUGGAUUUGUUUUUUGGCACAGCUCCUGUUUCUGCUGAUGAAGAGGCUGCUCAGUGGGGCAUGUGCACUGGAAACAUGUGGAAAGUUCAUCAGUGACAAAGAGAGCCGAGCCUUCACCCAACAGUACUGUUUAUGGCACAGAUGAUGAAUGAGACUUGCUGACAAUGAUGACCUGGGGGGGCCUUUCGCAGAACACGAUGAAGUACAAUUAGUGCUCGGGGCUCUUGAAGAGUGCAAUACAAUGCAAUAAAUACUUCCCAUGAAGUAUUAAAACACAUUUUUAAAAGAGG